UGUUGUUAUCCUGUGAGCCUCUGGAAGAACUGUUGGUGGAGCCGGAUAAAGGUUCUGAGGGAUCUACCAGGGAAGACACACAAAGACCAGUAAAAUGAAGACAAGAACUCAAGAACCACAUAAGGAAACAGGUCUUCUGAUUUUGCAGAAACCAGGAUGUAUUUGCCAAAGUGAACUGCCGUGGAAAACAAGCCAGGGAAGGAUUUUUCCCACCAAGCACUCUCUGUGUCAGAAAAUAACCAAUGUGUGGGCUGUCCUCAGCAUCCCUCCCUAGCAACCAGCAUUUUUAUUUGAAUUCCUGAGGGAAGAGUGCUGUUAUCUUGCAGCUAUCAACACAGCUUUCUGGGGAUGUAUCUGUUGUUUUUGUCUGCACAAUAGCCAUUCAUUAUCAUUGGACUAAUAGCACCCUGAUACCCUGCUUUGGGUGGGACUCACUUCUUAUUCUUGGUGCCAGGGGUGGCAUAUGCCCCAAGCCUGGCCAAUAAGACUCCAGCCUGAGAUGUUUUAGAAACCAUUGGGAAAGAAGUUCUCUUAGGCAAGGAUGGCUGCCACAUGGAGACUGCAAAUCCAAAGACAGAGAGAAAACCAGUCCUGAUGACAAUUCUUGAACUCCUGGAUCCAGCCAUACCUGAAGCCAUGUAAUCCCUGGAUUUUGCAGUUACAUGAGUCAAUAAAUUCCUCAUUUUUGCCCGCCAGAAAGGACUGUGAAUUAAUGGUUCCAUCAGAAGCAAACUGCUGAGCCCUGGGGGUCCAGGGGUGGGGCAAGCGGUUGGUGGAGGAGGUUUACUUGGUUUCCUCUCAGGCAUUUCACAGGACAUCUCAC
rnacentral:lncRNA from 1 species